CCAGAGCAGCGGCCCCGGGCGAUCCCGCUCCAGGGGCUGUGCUCAAAGCUCUGCUGCACUCCCCGAGGCUGGCAGAGCCGGGGAAGGCUCCUCAGAAAAGCUAAAUUUUACUUAUCAGAUUCACGUGAGCGCCACAUGUGAAAACAGAAGGAGGAAGUACAGCUGAAGCACGAUAAGCUGCCACACCGGGUCCCCCCUUCGCCUGCAGAGCACAGGCAGCGAGCUGACAGAGACCUGCAAAGGUGCUCAUAGAGCAGGUCUCUGUGCAUUUUGAGAGAAAGCAAAGAAACGCAACUGGACUCGAUCCAAAGCUCUUGAACGUGAAUGUAAAGAUCUGAAUGGCUUUGGAGAGAACCUCACAGCAAACCCCAGCUUUAAAUAAAACUACUUAAAACCCACUUUAAUUUUAAAACAACUGCACAGUGCACUUGAGACUGACCACACUGAGAAACCCAUCUUUUUUUUUUUUUUGCGCAAGCUCACAAGCAAAGGCAGAGAAAAUGAAGGCGAAUACAAGAAGUGGGUCCUGCCUCCUCCCUUCUCGGGAGCGAGGUGCCACCACUGCCUCCCAGAGACCCGGCAGAAAGUCACCGAGCGCGCACCGGCACGGUGUGACUACUCACCCGCUUGUAAACCGUUCUGUAAAGCAAUUAUUUUCUGCUGCUGCUGCUCGAUGAGGUUGGUUAGCGCUUUCACAUGCUUCAAGGCCCUGGCGUUUCUAGAAAGCUGCUGAAUCACCCCCCGGUGAUGCACCCUGACGGCCGCGAGGCCCUCGCCCAUGGGCGCAGCAGGACGCCACCAGCGACCUCCCACAGCCAGCGGCGAGCACCGCGGGGCCUCGAGCAACCCCUGCCAUCCUCAGCACUGCCCUCUGCACCGAGGGGCUACGGGCCACAGCCUUCCCGAGCCUCCCCUGGCAAGCACAAGCCCAGACAGAAACCUGGAAGAAAACCUGGCUGCGUCCAGGCCCGGGGGCAAUGCUCGGUCCUCACAAGCUGCAGCCUUACGUGGAAACAGCUGGGCUCUGGGACUCCCUGCGUGAAAUAAAAACAACUUUAUUAUUUUUUUUAAGUCAUGCAGAGCAGGCGAAGGACUCAGCCCUCAUAACUAUUUUGCUUCCAGAAGAUAUUCAAGCCCUAUGGAGCCACAUAUAUUUGCGUAUUAACUCUGUCGCUGUAAUAGCAGAGCCUCCUUCCUCUCUCUCAGGCGGAGAUGUGGUAUGUAAAAUGGCAGUGCCUUUUAUAGCCCUGUGCCCACAAAGGCUCAGCUGCAGAAGUCAUUUCCUAUUUACAUCAAGAAAAAAAACCAACAGUUCAGCAGAGAUAGCUGCAAAUCCAGGCAGCAAGGUGCUUUCUGCAGGUGUGGGUGGGUGAUUCACCCCCGCCAGCAGCCCGGGGCCCGGCUCCAUCCAGCACCGCAGCCCGCAGCUUAUCUUCAUCCUCCCGCUCCCGGUGCUUCCCCAGCUCCACGCAGUUCCAAGCACACCCAAACAAAGUCCCGAACCAACCCUGUCUGGCCUCACCCUCUUUCUCAGAAGAGGGCUUGGAUCUUCUCCAGGCCCUUCUCUCUCUUCCUCCCGGGGGAAGUCCUCCUUGGAAGCACCCCUCGGAGACCUUCGCCCAGGCGGCCGGGCCUCUCCUGCUUCUCCUGACACCCAGCAGCACCCCCUGGUUCUCCUGGAGAGCCAGAUGUCCCCUCCCGAGCCCUUCCAGGAUGAAGUCCAGGUCCCUGCAGCUCUGCCCCAGCUCCUGCCCUGGGGCUCCCUCUGCCCCGUUCUCCACCACCCUACCAUUUGUGCCUGGACAUUUGCCCUUCAAAGCCUGCCAUCGGGUGAGCUCUGCGGUGCUGAGAGGGCCCCAGGGCUGAGCUGUGACAUACUGCAGCCCUUUGGCGAGGCACUGGGUACCCCAAAACUUCCCGAGGACACCUUACAGCUCGGCCAGGGCAGGCGGGGGCACCCUGCGGGGCUGGGAGGCCCAAGUUAGACCUCAGCCAUAACAUGGACAAUGACCCAGGCCAGCAGCUUUGGCUCAGACCUCACUCCAAGACACCACUAAACCUCCCCAAAUCCCUUUUGUACCACCAUUAAACCUCCCCAAAUCCCUUUUUGUACCACCAUGGGGGCACAGCUGUGCUACCCCUUCCCUCAUCUCCUCGCACAGGGUCUCUGCACCUCCCAAGGAGGUGCUGGGACAUCGCUCCUCUCCCCGGUCUCACUGAGAUGAGGGCAACUGGGAGCAGCACACAAAAGGAAAAAUAAAUAAAAUAAUGGCACAAACAGCUGGCUGAAGCCCUUCGAUUUUGGCCACUCUUUAAAAACACUACACUGGUUUUGACAGGCAUCCCAGGGGAGUGCUCACUGGGCUCCCAGCCAGCAGUGAGGAGCUGCCGGGGUGCCCCAGCCCCAGUUUCACUGGAAACCACAGUGCCAGGACAGCCCGAUGCUGGGGCCCCACCACUGCGUGGAUUUCCAUCCUGCAGAUGCAAAUUCACUGCAAAAGGCACCUCCCGAAGCCAGGUUUUUGAAAUAAAUUACAUUAAUGUCAGCUAACCAGAGCCAGGGCUUGCUGCAGAUGAUCUGCACAGAUAGGUGCAGGGAAGAUCUGCGGCAGGCUACCUCGGGAACAACCCACCUUAGCAGAGAUCGCUCCAUUAAUCAUUUUGGCUGCCGCCCAGCACUGCCAAAAUUAGAGAGGUUUGGGGCUGGCUCCUCAAUGCGAGCAGAUAUGUCACGUUGUGACUAGAUACCGUGCUGAAAUUCAGCUGCCGGAAUUACGGAGGUGGCAGACCUUUAUUUAGCCCCGUCUUCCGUCGUGCAGCCACCUCCAGCCUGCCAGCGAGGCCCUGUGAGGAGUGUGUCAGCACACCGAGCAGCGGCCCCGCCGCAGCUGGCAGCCCUGACCUCCUCCACGCCACUCGUGCGCUUCGGAGGCAGAGCUGUUUGCAGCUGAGAGUCACUUCCUCAGAAACUCAGUGGGAGAGCUGUAGUUUUCGGUUUGCUGUGAGCUUUUAAAAUAUGGAUGUUGCCUCCCUGCUUGCAAGGAAAGCUCUGAGAGCUGUCUCCACCAGAAAGCAGCUCCAAAACUCAUCAUGCUUGGUGCUGAAGGGGUGCCCUGACAUCUCCAGGGACACCCCUUGCCAUAUUUUUUUCCCCCCCCGAGCAGCAUUGAGGAGCCCAGCUCGGUGCAGCACCAGUGCCACCACACCCGCAACCACACCACACCCCUACAGGGCCAACUUUCCAGAAAAAUAAAAGAAAAAUCAACUCUU